rnacentral:rRNA from 1 species
GACCACCGAGAUCUACACUCUUUCCCUACACGACGCUCUUCCGAUCUCCUCAAUGCCUGCUCUGGUAGCCAGUGCCCCUCACCGGGCGCUGGCGAACGUGCGGGUGCCACCUUGCUGCGGCUGGAGCUCCGUCGGUAUCGCACGGCACUUAGCUGAUUACGAUUGGGGAAUCUGACUGUAUAAUUAAAACACAGCCUCCUGUUGGGUUGUGAAGCUGUGAGCAGGAAGUGACUUCUGCCCAGUGCUCUGAAUGUCAAUGCAAAGAGAUUCGCCAAAGCGCGGGUUAACGGCGGGAGUAACUAUGACUCUCUUGAGGUAGCCAAAUGCCUCGUCAUCCAAUUAGUGACGCGCAUGAAUGGAAUAACGAGAUUCCCACUGUCCCUAGUCACGGCCCAGCGAAGCAACAGUCAAGGGAACGGUCUUGAGGCCGUCUGCGGGGAAAGAAGACCCUGUUGAGUUUGACUCUAGCCAGCUGCCGCACAGCGGUGCUGAAGGUGUAGUAGUAGGUGGGAGAGGUAACCCCUCACCAAUGAAAGACCACCACUUCGGUUGCCUCUGGGCUUACUUGGUGAUCGUCCGGCUAGGCGGUUCGGUGCAGGGCCCACCCUCGGGUGGGUGUCCGACUGGCGUCAUGGAUUUCAAGUCCCAAUCACCGUGGCUCGUCCACGGCUGAGCGGGCCAUCAGGGACAUGCGGCUGGUGGGGAGUUUGGCUGGGGCGGUACAUCUGUGAAACGGUAUCGCAGGUGUCCUUAAGCUGUGCUCAGAGAGGACAGAAACCUCUCGUGGAGCGUAAGGGCAAAAGCACGGCUUGGGGUUCAACGUGCUUGAACCCGGCGAGAAAUCGCGGCCUAGUGAUCCUUUGGUCGCUCAUGGGCAUUGACCCAGAGGUGUCGGAAAAAUUACCACAGGGAUAACUGGCUUGUUGCUGCCAAGCGUCCAUAGCGACGCAGCUUUUUGAUCCUUCGAUGUCGGCUCUUCCUAUCAUGGGGUUGCAGAAGGCCCCAAGCGUUGGAUUGUUCACCCACUAACAGGGAACGUGAGCUGGGUUUAGACCGUCGUGAGACAGGUUAGUUUUACCCUACUGAUGA